GGUCGGGGGUGGCUGGCGGGGUGGUGGCGGGGGGGGAGGAGGUCGGUGGUUGGGCAAUGCAGGUGGAGAGGAGGGCAAGGGAAAUGGCUAGAGCUACAGUUGGUGCAUGGAACGCCAUGGCUGGCUCUCCUUUGUUUCACUUCCUCUCAAAUGAGGAGAGGAAGGGAGAACUAGCGUUUGUUGUGUGUUGGAUGGAGUGGGAGAAUGGAGGAGUUUGGUAAUAUAUAGCGUGGAGUGUAGAGAUCUACGGAUCUGAAGAAAGAGAACAAGGCAAAAAGUUGUGGACCGUACGUGGGGAAGUCAG
rnacentral:lncRNA from 1 species